UACAGAGGUCUCAAGCGUUGUUCGGAUUCAUUGGGCGUAAAGGGUGCGUAGGCGGCGCGGUAAGUCCGGUGUGAAAUCUCGGGGCUUAACUCCGAAACUGCAUUCGAUACUGCCGUGCUUGAGGACUGGAGAGGAGACUGGAAUUUACGGUGUAGCGGUGAAAUGCGUAGAUAUCGUAAGGAAGACCAGUGGCGAAGGCGGGUCUCUGGACAGUUCCUGACGCUGAGGAGCGAAAGCGUGGGGAGCGAACAGG
rnacentral:rRNA from 1 species